rnacentral:rRNA from 1 species
CGCGUGCACUGGUUCGGCCGGGCCUUUCCCUCUGGGGAGCCGCAUGCCCUUCACUGGGUGUGUCGGGGAACCAGGACUUUUACUUUGAACAAAUUAGAUCGCUUAAAGAAGGCCUAUGCUCGAAUACAUUAGCAUGGAAUAAUAGAAUAGGACGCGUGGUUCUAUUUUGUUGGUUUCUAGGACCGCCGUAAUGAUUAAUAGGGACAGUCGGGGGCAUCAGUAUUCAAUUGUCAGAGGUGAAAUUCUUGGAUUUAUUGAAGACUAACUACUGCGAAAGCAUUUGCCAAGGAUGUUUUCAUUAAUCAGGAACGAAAGUUAGGGGAUCGAAGACGAUCAGAUACCGUCGUAGUCUUAACCAUAAACUAUGCCGACUAGGGAUCGGACGAUGUUAUAUUUUGACUCGUCCAGCACCUUACACGAAAGUAAAGUUUCUGGGUUCUGGGGGGAGUAUGGUCGCAAGGCUGGAACUUAAAGAAAUUGACGGAAGGGCACCACCAGGGGUGGAGCCUGCGGCUUAAUUUGACUCAACACGGGGAAACUCACCAGGUCCAGACACAAGUAGGAUUGACAGAUUGAGAGCUCUUUCUUGAUUUUGUGGGUGGUGGUGCAUGGCCGUUCUUAGUUGGUGGAGUGAUUUGUCUGCUUAAUUGCGAUAACGAACGAGACCUUAACCUGCUAAAUAGCCCGCAUUGCUUUGGCAGUGCGCCGGCUUCUUAGAGGGACUAUCGG